GCGGGUGUAGCUCAGGGGUAGAGCGCAACCUUGCCAAGGUUGAUGUCGAGAGUUCGAAUCUCUUCACCCGCUCCA
rnacentral:tRNA from 1 species